UACAGAGGGGGCAAGCGUUGUUCGGAAUUACUGGGCGUAAAGGGCGCGUAGGCGGCCUGCUAAGUCGAACGUGAAAUCCCCGAGCUCAACUCGGGAACUGCGUCCGAUACUGGCAGGCUUGAAUCCGGGAGAGGGAUGCGGAAUUCCAGGUGUAGCGGUGAAAUGCGUAGAUAUCUGGAGGAACACCGGUGGCGAAGGCGGCAUCCUGGACCAUGACUGACGCUGAGACGCGAAAGCGUGGGGAGCAAACAGG
rnacentral:rRNA from 1 species